GUGGGGAAUAUUGGGCAAUGGGCGAAAGCCUUACCCAGCAACGCCGCGUGAGGGAAGAAGGUUUUCGGAUUGUAAACCUCUGUCCUGGGGGACGAAGGAAGUGACGGUACCCCGGGAGGAAGCCCCGGCUAACUACGUGCCAGCAGCCGCGGUAAUACGUAGGGGGCGAGCGUUGUCCGGAAUUAUUGGGCGUAAAGGGCGCGUAGACGGCUAUGUAAGUUAUAGGUGAAAGCCCAUUUUUCAAGGAUGGAAUUGCCUGUAAUACUGUGUAGCUUGAGUGCAGGAGAGGGAAGCGGAAUUCCUAGUGUAGCGGUGAAAUGCGUAGAUAUUAGGAGGAACACCAGUGGCGAAGGCGGCUUUCUGGACUGUAACUGACGUUGAGGCGCGAAAGCGUGGGGAGCAAACAGGA
rnacentral:rRNA from 1 species